UGCUGUAGAGCCAUGCCUCUAAAUUAUUAAAAUAAAUAAAUCUUACACUAGCCUAAGCUUAGGUAAUGUAUACAACUAAACAGUUCCCUAGUCAGAAGAAUACUUUAAAAAGCUCCUGUAGGAAUAAUGCAUCAUGCCUUUUCUUCUAGGUCUGAGACAGGUCUACAGCAGAAAUUUGAUGGCCGGUUUAAGAGGAGGCUGGUUAAAUAGAGGCCGGAUAAGAGGGAGUCUUCAAGCCAAGUGAGUGUAGUUAGUAGUGUAGUAAAUAUUAUAUCGUCCAUAUUUCAGUCUUGUAUCAUAAAGUACCCCUAGCUUAACUUUUGGUGUCUUCUGUAGUAUAGGAGAAAAAUGUAGCUUUCAUUGUAUUAAGUGAUUAAGAUCGACUGAUCUCACGUAGUCCAUCAAACCCCUUGUUCAUUUCAUGCCCACGAAUGAUCCAGGAGUCCCUUAUAUUUAAGCAGAGCUUUUUCUUAAAUUUUAUUUAUUUUUUAAUUACUUGUUUGUUUAGCAUUUGAUUACUGGGAUAGUCUGAUUGGGAUGACAAGCAUACCCAUUUCAGUUGCGGCUCAGGGAGAAAAGCUCCCAGUUUAUGCACUUUAUACAGUAAUUUUCAUUUACAAAUGCAGAAAUAGCUUUACACAUGACGGACUAUAGAAAUAUAUAAUUCAUUUACAAAUGUAGAAGCAGCUUUACACAUGGCAGACAAUAGGACAUACCUAUACAUUUCAGCUAGAAAAAAUUGCAAAAAAUCAACCUGUUACACAACAGUUUCAAUGAAAAAUACGAAAAAUAAAAGCAUAUUCGGAGCAGAUUAUCAGCAUGCCUUCAAUUCAUUGUAAAGUACAUGAUUUUCAGUGGAAAGACUCUAUGUAAAAGUAGACCAGCAUGGGUGAAGAUUAUAGAAAAACUAAAAAUUAUGGUUUUAAGAGUAUUAACUGUUUGGAGGGAGUUGAAAAAGUUGAAAGAUUUAUUAUUGGGCUCAAAUGGGAACACUAGUAGACAGAGGAUAAUGGUGGUUAGCUAUUCAAAGUGAGGUUAGAGAAAAUGAGACAAAAAUGGUAGAAGGACAGUAGAGAUUGUCAGGAGUAUGACAGGAGCAUAGCCAUUUUGAGAGAAGAUUUUAGUUUUAUAUAGGUGUAUCUAGUGUGUGUGCAUAAAAGGUUUGUAUAGCAAGGGGGUACCUUUGUGCUUAAGCCAAAAUAGAAAUAGUAUAAUGUUGCAGUGUACAAUGAAAAUAUGACUGGGCUCCUAACGUCUAAGUUAAUUUAUGUUCUAGCAUCGAUUAAAAAAAAAAAAAAAAAAAAAAAAAAAAAAA